rnacentral:rRNA from 1 species
UACAGAGGUCUCAAGCGUUGUUCGGAUUCAUUGGGCGUAAAGGGUGCGUAGGCGGCGCGGUAAGUCGGGUGUGAAAUCUCGGGGCUUAACUCCGAAACUGCAUUCGAUACUGCCGUGCUUGAGGACUGGAGAGGAGACUGGAAUUUACGGUGUAGCGGUGAAAUGCGUAGAUAUCGUAAGGAAGACCAGUGGCGAAGGCGGGUCUCUGGACAGUUUCUGACGCUGAGGCACGAAGGCCAGGGGAGCAAACGGG